UACGGAGGGGGCGAGCGUUAUUCGGAAUUAUUGGGCGUAAAGGGCAGGUAGGCGGUUCCAUAUGUCCUUUGUGAAAGCCCUCGGCUCAACCGAGGAACUGCAGGGGAAACUGUGGGACUUGAAUCCGGGAGAGGUGAGUGGAAUUCCGAGUGUAGAGGUGAAAUUCGUAGAUAUUCGGAAGAACACCAGUGGCGAAGGCGGCUCACUGGACCGGCAUUGACGCUGAGGUGCGAAAGCGUGGGGAGCAAACAGG
rnacentral:rRNA from 1 species